rnacentral:tRNA from 1 species
AAGUAUGAAGCAAAAUUUGCAAUUAGUUUCGACCUAAAAAUAGAUGAUAAUCAUCCCUACUUA